rnacentral:rRNA from 1 species
CUUGACCUCAAAUCGGGUGAGACUACCCGCUGAACUUAAGCAUAUCAAUAAGCGGAGGA